rnacentral:tRNA from 1 species
GGAGAGGUACCGAAGUGGCCGUAACGGGGGCGACUCGAAAUCGUCUUUACGCCCAAAAGGCGUAACGUGGGUUCGAAUCCCACCCUCUCCGCCA